rnacentral:tRNA from 1 species
AAUCAAUGAACUUGUAAAAGUAUAUAUUUUGAAAAUAUAAUAAAGAAGAAAACCUUCUAUUGAUUU